rnacentral:rRNA from 1 species
AACGAACGCUGGCGGCAGGCCUAACACAUGCAAGUCGAACGCUCCGCAAGGGGGAGUGGCGCACGGGUGAGUAACACGUGGGAACCUACCUUCUGGUACGGAACAACCAAGGGAAACUUUGGCUAAGACCGUAUACGACCUCCGGGUGAAAGAUUGAUCGCCGGAAGAGGGGCCCGCGUCCGAUUAGGUAGUUGGUGAGGUAACGGCUCACCAAGCCUUCGAUCGGUAGCUGGUCUGAGAGGAUGACCAGCCACACUGGGACUGAGACACGGCCCAGACUCCUACGGGAGGCAGCAGUGGGGAAUAUUGGACAAUGGGCGCAAGCCUGAUCCAGCCAUGCCGCGUGAGUGAUGAAGGCCUUCGGUU